rnacentral:rRNA from 1 species
GAUCCUGGCUCAGAUUGAACGCUGGCGGCAGGCUUAACACAUGCAAGUCGAGCGGGGAUAGGGUGCUUGCACCUGAUUCCUAGCGGCGGACGGGUGAGUAAUGCUUAGGAAUCUGCCUAUUAGUGGGGGACAACGUUCCGAAAGGGACGCUAAUACCGCAUACGUCCUACGGGAGAAAGCAGGGGAUCUUCGGACCUUGCGCUAAUAGAUGAGCCUAAGUCGGAUUAGCUAGUUGGUGGGGUAAAGGCCUACCAAGGCGACGAUCUGUAGCGGGUCUGAGAGGAUGAUCCGCCACACCGGGACUGAGACACGGCCCAGACUCCUACGGGAGGCAGCAGUGGGGAAUAUUGGACAAUGGGGGCAACCCUGAUCCAGCCAUGCCGCGUGUGUGAAGAAGGCCUUUUGGUUGUAAAGCACUUUAAGCGAGGAGGAGGCUUACCUGGUUAAUACCUGGGAUAAGUGGACGUUACUCGCAGAAUAAGCACCGGCUAACUCUGUGCCAGCCGCAGC